rnacentral:rRNA from 1 species
UGGGGAAUAUUGCACAAUGGGCGCAAGCCUGAUGCAGCCAUGCCGCGUGUAUGAAGAAGGCCUUCGGGUUGUAAAGUACUUUCAGCGGGGAGGAAGGGAGUAAAGUUAAUACCUUUGCUCAUUGACGUUACCCGCAGAAGAAGCACCGACUAACUCCGUGCCAGCAGCCGCGGUAAUACGGAGGGUGCAAGCGUUAAUCGGAAUUACUGGGCGUAAAGCGCACGCAGGCGGUCUGUCAAGUCGGAUGUGAAAUCCCCGGGCUCAACCUGGGAACUGCAUUCGAAACUGGCAGGCUAGAGUCUUGUAGAGGGGGGUAGAAUUCCAGGUGUAGCGGUGAAAUGCGUAGAGAUCUGGAGGAAUACCGGUGGCGAAGGCGGCCCCCUGGACAAAGACUGACGCUCAGGUGCGAAAGCGUGGGGAGCAAACAGG